rnacentral:ncRNA from 1 species
GUGUUGUAUGAAAGGAGAGAAGGUUAAUACUCCCCUCGGGCCUGACAACACCUAUAUAAUGAAGGUAUUGCCAUCUAUUUCGUGGCAUCUAACCAUUAUUU